GGUAGUCCACGCCNUAAACGAUGUCGAUUAGCUGUNGGGCAGCAUGACUGCUUAGUAGCGAAGCUAACGCGUGAAAUCGACCGCCUGGGGAGUACGGUCGCAAGAUUAAAACUCAAAGGAAUUGACGGGGACCCGCACAAGCGGUGGAUGAUGUGGAUUAAUUCGAUGCAACGCGAAGAACCUUACCUGGUCUUGACAUGUACGGAACCCUCCAGAGACGGAGGAGUGCCUUCGGGAGCCGUAACACAGGUGCUGCAUGGCUGUCGUCAGCUCGUGUCGUGAGAUGUUGGGUUGAGUCCCGCAACGAGCGCAACCCUUGUCAUUAGUUGCCAUCAUUAAGUUGGGCACUCUAAUGAGACUGCCGGUGACAAGCCGGAGGAAGGUGGGGAUGACGUCAAGUCCUCAUGGCCCUUAUGACCAGGGCUUCACACGUCGUACAAUGGUCGGUACAGAGGGUAGCCAAGCCGCGAGGCGGAGCCAAUCUCACAAAACCGAUCGUAGUCCGGAUUGCACUCUGCAACUCGAGUGCAUGAAGUCGGAAUCGCUAGUAAUCGCAGGUCAGCAUACUGCGGUGAAUACGUUCCCGGGUCUUG
rnacentral:rRNA from 1 species